CAGUAGCCGCGGGAAUACAGAGGGUGCAAGCGUUAAUCGGAAUUACUGGGCGUAAAGCGCGCGUAGGUGGUUCGCCAAGUUGGAUGUGAAAUCCCCGGGCUCAACCUGGGAACUGCAUCCAAAACUGGCGAGCUAGAGUAUGGUAGAGGGUGGUGGAAUUUCCUGUGUAGCGGUGAAAUGCGUAGAUAUAGGAAGGAACAUCAGUGGCGAAGGCGACCACCUGGACUGAUACUGACACUGAGGUGCGAAAGCGUGGGGAGCAAGCAGGAUUAGAUACCCCUGUAGUCCCUGUCUCUUAUAC
rnacentral:rRNA from 1 species